UGGAUGGUACAGCCUCGCAACUAUCUACUUUUGGCAUGCCAUGUCUCAAAUGAGACUGUCCAACUCUAUCAACUCUCUCGAUGGGCAAGGGGUCAGGGGUACUUUACCCAGAAGAAGGAUGAACCAGUGUCCGAGUAGCUUGCUGCUUCUUUCAUUCCCUUCCUGGUUCAUUGCGUAAAACAGAAGAUACUGCCACCACCACCUACACUCCAUGUUCUUGAAGAACCAGUAGAAGCAACUUCUGCGGCAGAUUUAUUCACUUCGAAGGAUCUCAUGCUUGCAUUUCCUUUUGUUGUACACGUAAGCAAAGUGCAAGACCCAACAGUAGACAAUAAUUGAAAAAAGAUCCAUAGCUGUAUGCACUGAGGGAACAAUACCCCUGAUUUUAAAUAAAUAAAAACUUCUGGAAGAAAUCAGUGACUGUGA